UACGUAGGCAGCGAGCGUUGUUCGGAGUUACUGGGCGUAAAGAGUGCGUAGGCGGUGUUCCAAGUCUGUUGUGAAAUCUCCCGGCUCAACUGGGAGGGUGCGGCGGAAACUGGGACGCUGGAGUACGGGAGAGGUAAGCGGAAUUCCUGGUGUAGCGGUGAAAUGCGUAGAUAUCAGGAGGAACACCUGUGGCGAAAGCGGCUCACUGGACCAUAACUGACGCUGAUGCACGAAAGCUAGGGGAGCAAACAGG
rnacentral:rRNA from 1 species